AGCUGCCACACGGGGUACUACACCCUAAAAGAGCUGCCACACGCGGCACCACACCCCAGAAGUGGAACGCCGUGUGGCAGCUCCUCUAGGGUGUGGUACCCCGUGUGGCAGCUC
rnacentral:pre_miRNA from 1 species